rnacentral:rRNA from 1 species
GUCUAUGGCCAUACCACCCAGAACGUGCCUGAUCUCGUCUGAUCUCGAAAGCUAAGCAGGGUCGUGCCUGGUUAGUACUUGGAUGGGAGAACAACCAAAAUGAAAAUGGUAUAAGCU